GGUGUGACCGUCUAGUUGCAGGAAAACAAGCUCAGGGCUCCCAUCAAUUCUACAUUAUGGGGUCCCCAAGCCCCAGGCUGCAGAGUGAUACCUGUCCCUGGCCUGUUAGGAACUGGAUCACACAGCAGGAGCGUCCCCACUGGCCCUGCCACCACCUUCUGCUCCUUUGAUAAAAGCUGCCGCUGCGGAGUCUGCCUACCCAGCACCUGCCCACAUGAGAUCAGCCUCCUUCAGCCCAUCUGCUGUGACACCUGCCCCCCACCCUGCUGCAAGCCUGAUACCUAUGUGCCAACUUGCUGGCUGCUCAACAACCAUUACCAGACUCCUGGACUGAGUGGGAUCAACCUGACCACUUAUGUUCAGCCUGGCUGUGAGAGUCCCUGUGAGCCCCGCUGUUAACCAGCAGAGUCUGCACAGGUUCCAUGAGGUGGCUGCCCAAUGUUCUCCACACCAUCUGGGCUUCAGCACUCACUACUGCCUACAUCAAAGCUAAGGCCAUCCCAAUCCCUGGGGCCAAGUCUUGAUGAAUCUUCUUAAUUCUUUGCUCCUUUGGGUACAGUUGGAGACCUCCUUUCUGUCUUUUAGGCUAUUUCAUCACUCUUUGAGAAAUAACCAUUUUGACUAUUUGUUAAUAAACUUUAUUCUGGCUUAGCAAA
rnacentral:sRNA from 1 species